GACGAACGCUGGCGGCGUGCUUAACACAUGCAAGUCGAACGGUAAGGCCCUUCGGGGUACACGAGUGGCGAACGGGUGAGUAACACGUGGGUGAUCUGCCCUGCACUUCGGGAUAAGCCUGGGAAACUGGGUCUAAUACCGGAUAGGACCACUGCCUGCAUGGGUGGUGGUGGAAGGCUUUUGCGGUGUGGGAUGGGCCCGCGGCCUAUCAGCUUGUUGGUGGGGUGAUGGCCUACCAAGGCGACGACGGGUAGCCGGCCUGAGAGGGUGACCGGCCACACUGGGACUGAGAUACGGCCCAGACUCCUACGGGAGGCAGCAGUGGGGAAUAUUGUACAAUGGGCGCAAGCCUGAUGCAGCGACGCCGCGUGAGGGAUGACGGCCUUCGGGUUGUAAACCUCUUUCAGCACCGACGAAGCGAAAGUGACGGUAGGUGCAGAAGAAGGACCGGCCAACUACGUGCCAGCCGCCGCGGUAA
rnacentral:rRNA from 1 species